rnacentral:rRNA from 1 species
UGGGGAAUAUUGGACAAUGGGCGCAAGCCUGAUCCAGCCAUACCGCGUGGGUGAAGAAGGCCUUCGGGUUGUAAAGCCCUUUUGUUGGGAAAGAAAAGCAGCCGGUUAAUACCCGGUUGUUCUGACGGUACCCAAAGAAUAAGCACCGGCUAACUUCGUGCCAGCAGCCGCGGUAAUACGAAGGGUGCAAGCGUUACUCGGAAUUACUGGGCGUAAAGCGUGCGUAGGUGGUUGUUUAAGUCUGUCGUGAAAGCCCUGGGCUCAACCUGGGAAUUGCGGUGGAAACUGGGCGACUAGAGUGUGGCAGAGGGUAGUGGAAUUCCUGGUGUAGCAGUGAAAUGCGUAGAGAUCAGGAGGAACAUCCGUGGCGAAGGCGACUGCCUGGGCCAACACUGACACUGAGGCACGAAAGCGUGGGGAGCAAACAGG